UGCCUUUGAAAAAUUGGGACUAAGGAUGUCCCACCUUGAAAUGAAUUUUCUGUCAUCUCUACUAUAAAUACAAUUGAAAUCCUACGAUACUAAUUCUCAUCCCAUCACCUCCAGAUUGUUCAUAUCUCUAAUAUAUACAAAGAGAAUGAGUUCCAAGGCUUUCAUCUUGCUCGGUCUACUUUUUGCCGCUGUCCUCUUUUCCUCGGAGACGAUAACGGUUACAGCAAGGGAUGCGAAAUUCAAAGAAGCUACGACGGAAAGUACCGGUGAAGUUGACAAUGUUGAGAGCCACAAUUAUGGAGGAGCCCAUUCUCGAAACCUUGCCGAAUGCAUCCACGGUUGCGACCGAGGUUGUUGCGAAUGCUUUCGCGACCGUUGCAUCAGGUGCUGCUAGUUUUGCCUGUGGGGCUGCUAUUGUUGAUGGAAAGCCUCAAGCUAAGCCUAAGAAUAAUGCACAUGUUAUUGUGUUAACUUUAAAUAAAAUGGGCUUUAUUUUCUGAAGUUGGUGUUUGCAGUUUGAGUGUUUGUAAGUUAUGAUGAAUAAAUGCAUAUGCUUGUGAGAUUAAUCAUAAGUUAAUCAUAUUACAAUUA